GCGGGGGCCAGCACGCGCUGGCACUGCUGUUUGGAUGAAUCUCUCUGCUCCCAGCCCUGCCAGAGUUUCCCGGUGGCGGUUGCAGGGGCUGCGGUAAGGGGUUGCAGCGGGCAUUCUGUCUCUGCCGAGCCAGCAACUGCGAGCAUUGCUAUUCUCUGGCCAGACCCCGUGCUCCUGGGUCAGGAGGAGGGAGGCAGCUGAGGAUGUGCGCAGCACACUUUUUAUAUAUGUGGGGCCAUAAUAUUUAAGUGUCUUGGCUGUAAGCCUGCGACUGGGUCCCCCGACAGCCAAGCCUUGCUCCGCACGCUCUAACAGCUGUCUGUAAAACCCGUUUAUGGAGCCUCCAUAAAUUUCCCAGCUGCUGCAAACACAGGGCUGGGGACAAAGAGUCGAGGGAGGGAGGUGUGGAAGAGCAGCAGCUUCAGCGUCUCCGCUGGCUGGUCCUCUGGGCCCCAGCUUGCCCCCCACCCACCUGGGGCUGCCUUACCCUAAAUUCUUUUAUUGAAGCUGAUCUUAACGUCGACCCCGUGGGGCCUGGCUGGGCGAUCCAGCUCACCACAGAUGCAGGCACUUUCAAGAUUGCAGCAAAAGGGCCUGGAGCUUGAGCUGGAACCCACGCUGCUUGUCUGGGGCUUGAGCCGCCUUCAUCACGCAUGCCAGCUCACCCCUGAGUCACACCUGCUCCCUGAGCCUCUGGCUCGGGGCCUCCCACAGAUGGAUCACCUGCUGUGUACCUGACUCCAAUUGCAACGUUUGGGGCUGACUUUCCAGAAUUACCCAAGAUUGACCUGUGGGAGAUAUCUGGGCCCCCUGUGCCUUGCAAAGCUUCACAUGGGUGAUGAUGUUGAAGACCAGGUGCGGAUCAAUGGGGGCUCCAUGGCAAAUGAGAAACAGAGGAAGAAGAACUAACCUUCCUACCCACCAGUGCUCACUGGCACUCAACAUAGCCUUGCUCUUGUUUCUGGAGGAAGGGCCAUUGGGAUCAACUUAAGAACAUGGCAGAACAGAGAUGCUUGCUGAAUUAGUUGGUUGGAAGCACAAAAUUAUUUUAGUAGUUGUUGCAAAUUGCUUCACUUCUCUGGGUUUAAGUGUAGAACUCAAUGGUAAUGUGAAUAGACUUGAUCUCCAUAGGAUCAUUGUGGGGACUCAAUGAGAUAGAUUCUGUAGAGCUUUGGGCUUGAUUGGUGCACAGUGUUCAAUGAGUGUGCUGGGAGAAACUCUUCUCCUCACUUCUGGUGUUUCCUUCCAGGAGGAGAGAGGUCCCUCUGGGUAGCACCCCUGGCCUCUCUGUCUGCUCCCUGGGUUCUGCCUUUGGAAGUGGGAGGUGAUGUGCUUGGUAGGGAAGCUUGAGGGCAGGAGCUGGGUCUGGGUAGCUCAGCUGCUUCCUCUUCCAUUCUCAGGAGCCAGCUGUCUAUGGGAAGCACCCAUUCUGGUCAGCCCCCAUAAGCCAUAAAUGUAUAGGGGCAGGCUGGAUCCUUCGGGGAAGGCGGCCCCAGUUAGGGUGGCUAAGUCUGCACAUUCAGGAUAGUGUUCCUAGCUGACACAUUGGGCCUAGUGCCUAGUGAACAAGCAGUGGAACGUGGGGAGCAAAUUAAUACUCAAGGACUGAGGCUUUUGAGGGGACCAGGCCAUCAGAUUUUUAUUUUAUUUUAUUUUAUAUUUUUACAGGCAAGCUGCUAUUUUUAUACAGGCAUAGGCCUUAGCAAAAGUGGGUUGAGUUGGUUCCUGAGGCCUUAGGCUAAGAGCGGCUGCAGCUCACCCUGGGCAAAACCGUGCCUGCCUCAGCAUGGGCCACCAGGUUCUCUGAAGAUGCCAUUAGGCCUUAGGGCCCCUGUGGACAGGCAUUGUAGAUAUGCUUUGAUUAUAGGGAAAAGAAAGUUUACCCAUAUAUAGACUCUUUUAGUGUCUGACUGCUGUUGUAACAAAUUGCCACACUUAGUGGCUUAAGACAACACAACCUUCUUAUCUUGCUGUUCUGGAGGUCAGAAGUCCAAAAGGGUUUCACUGGGUCAAAAUCAAGGUGCAUAGUCACGCUCCCUCCAGAGGCUCUAGGAGAGAAUCAAUUUCCAUGCCUUUUCCAGCAUCUAGAAGCCCUCUGUCUUCCUUUGCUGAUGAUCCUUUCCUCCUCCUUCAAAGCCAACAGUGUAGCAUCUUCUCAUCCCUCUCUGUUCUGUUGUUAUAUCAACUUGACUUCACUCUGAGCCUCCUGCCUCCUCUUAGAAGGACCCUGGUGAUUACAUUUAGGACCCACUGGGGUCAUCUAGCAUAAUCUUUCCAUCUCAAGAUCUUUAAUAUCAUCACAUCUUCAAUAUCCCUUUACCAUAGCCACAGGCUCCAGAGACUCAGCCAUAAACAUCUUUGGACAGAAACAUCAUUAUUCAACCUACCACAUAGACCUUUUUCUUUAAUUUUUAAUUUUUAUGAGUACAUAGUAGGUAUAUAUAUUUAUGGGGUACAUGAGGUACUUUAAUACAGGCAUAUAAUGCUUAAUAAUCCCAUUAGGGUAAAUGGGGUAGCCAUCAUCUCAAGAAUUUGUCCUUACUUUAGUGUUACAAACAAUCCAAUUAUACUCCUUUAAUUAUUUUAAGAUGUAUAAUAAAUUUGGAUUGACUGUCAUCAUCCUGUUGUCUAUAUUUUUGUAAAUAUUAACUAUCCCUCCUCUCCCCUACACUACCCUUCCCAGCCUCUGGUAACCCUCCUUCUACUCUCUAUCUCCGUGAGUUCAAUUGUUUGAAUUUUUAGCUCCCACAAAUAAGUGAGAACAUGUGAAGUUUGUCUUUCUGUGCCUGGUUUAUUCCUUUUUUUUUUUUGAAAUGGAGUCUCACUCUUGUCGCCCAGGCUGGAGUGCAAUGGCCACGAUCUCAGCUCACUGCAAGCUCCGCUGCCCUGGUUCACGCCAUUCUCCUGCCUCAGCCUCCCGAGUAGGGGCCUGGCUUAUUUCACUUAACACUUCAUUACGUCCUCUAGUUCCAUCCAUGUUGUUACAAAUGACAGGAUCUCAUUCUUUUUCAUGGCUGAAUAGUACUCCGUUUCAUAUAUGUACCAUACGUUCUUUGUCCAGGUGUCUGUUGAUGGACACUUAGAUUGCUUCUAAAUCUUGACUAUUGUGAAUAGUGGUGCAAUAAACAUGAGAGUGCAGAUAUCUCUUUGAUAUCCUGCCACACAGACUUUUGAUACAUUAAGAGGAGGAAUGAUUACCUAUCGCUUUUAUGAUCUUUCAGUACAAUUUAUACUGCACCCACGUUCCAUGCCCUACAAUACCUAGUGUGAGCCUGCACCAUUGUAUUGCUAGUGUGAAGCUGAGGUAGACAGCGGAGGGAGGCUGCCAAAAACCCCAUGUCUUUCUAUGUUGCCUUGUGGUACAGGGCUAAGGAGAGCUGGGAAUUAAUGUGGCUUCCCCACAGGCUCUUAGGGUUCACACACCCCACCAUAUGGUCUACAGUUGCCUCUGGAAUAAUCAUGGCCUUGGAUUUAGA
rnacentral:lncRNA from 10 species